rnacentral:snRNA from 1 species
GAAUGUGAGGGCAAUCUGCCUGCGACAUCUGUCACCCCAUUGGUCGCCAGAGUUGAUUCCACUGAUCUGCCUGGCUAGGCAGGUGUCCCAUUCCUCCUUCACCACUCCAUGUGUGUCCCUCCCAAAGCUGUACGCUCAGUCAAAGAGCAUGACCAUCCCCAUUAGAGGAGGACCAUUCUUCAGUCAAGGGUAUAUGAGUAGCUAUACGCUGUCCUGCUAAAACCUCCAAAUAAGCUCUCGACAUUAAUUAAACUCAAGAAAAAAAAUAGUCUCCACAAAAACCACAGGUAUAGGUGCAUUU